UGGUGCUGACUAUGGAACUGCUGACUAGCAGGGCGAAGAGGCCCCAUCCUACUGUUUGCUUGUACAUUCUGAAAAUGGCGUUGGUACUACUUAGAACCCGAAUGAGGAAAAUGGGAACAAUGGAAUUGCGAAAGUCAUUUUUUAAACAAAUGGCUUUAUUUGCUCAGAGUCAAUUUUGACAGUCUAAAGUUCCGCUAAAACCACAAGUGAACCAAAAACCUACUUAAAAUUGGGUUUGAAACCCCCCAAAAAGUGUAACACCCGCUUAAUCCGACUCAGCAACCGAGACAAUUCAUCGUGGCCACCGUGAAUUAAUCGAUUUCAGGUGCACAUUUCCUCCAAAUAAAUAAAUUCUUGUU